UACGGGGGGGGGCAAGCGUUGUUCGGAAUUACUGGGCGUAAAGGGCUCGUAGGCGGCCAACUAAGUCAGACGUGAAAUCCCUCGGCUUAACCGGGGAACUGCGUCUGAUACUGGAUGGCUUGAGUUGGGAGAGGGAUGCGGAAUUCCAGGUGUAGCGGUGAAAUGCGUAGAUAUCUGGAGGAACACCGGUGGCGAAGGCGGCAUCCUGGACCAUCACGACGCUGAGGAGCGAAAGCCAGGGGAGCAAAGCGGGG
rnacentral:rRNA from 1 species